UGAGGAGGAAAUACAAUGACCAGCAUCGGUGAUUUUAUUUACAAAAGUAUUUUCUGUCCGAGAUGCGACACUUUCGUCUACUCUGUUAUUAUUGAGGCCAUAGACAAGAGAAGAGUUUUAAAUGACAAAGAACAAUGGCAGCUUUCUAUACAACAUUUUACCUGAUAUCUAUUUGAGGCGUCUUGAAACAAAAAAAUACUAAAACGAUAGGAAUAACAUAGCUUAAGCUUAAUCAGAAAUAUUUUUGGUAUUAGAAAGUCACAAAAAAAAAGAUAUCAACGUGUUUACUUUAUAAUUUGAGGUUAUCUAUCAAUAAAUAGAUUUCUCUGAUUUUUGUAGGCACGGACUAUAACAAAUUAAAAAAAUAAGUAAAUGACAUGUUUAAAUAACAUUUUAGUUUCAUUAUCAUAGAUGAACCAAGGAUACACUUCUAAUACUACUCGAGUAGGUACCCUUAGCAAUUGCAGAGCUACCUCGGUAAAUAUACAUAUUAUAUAGUUUGUUCUUUCUUCUUUGUAAAUGUGUAUAAUGUGUGUCAGAGAUAGGUACUUUUAACCUUUUGAACGAAUUAGUCACAUAUUUGCGACAAACGAAGGCUUGCAAAGCUAAUUUAGUAUAGUAGAAUUAUUUUGAUUUUUGUCCGUGCAGUUUGGGUCAUAAAAAAUCGGAGCGGUGAAGCAAGUAUUUCGCUCUCUCUUCCACUCACGAGCCUUAUGGACGGGCAUAGUCAUGCGCAUUAUGUCAGUUGAUAGACUGUUCAAAUCAUUGUCAUCUGAAGUGCUGGCAUUACUAUUAUGUAUUUCGUUAUUUAAGUACUAAUUGUAACAAAGGAUAAUUAAUAUUAUUAUUUUCAUUUUAAAUACUUUAUGAAUAUUAUUCAUUAUCAAAAAAUAUUGCUUUUUGUCCCAAUAGUAUAAAUGCCAUCCUUUACAAAUGUAUUAAACCGGAAGUACACAAAAAUCGAAUUAAAAGCUUAUUAAAUUAACAUUUUUUCGUGGCUUUGCCACGUAAAUCUAACAUCGUAUAAAGAACGAGCAAAUAAAAUGAUGAAGUUUCGUUUAUGUCUUAAUCUAAGACGCCUUUUAAAACAUUCAGGUAAAAAAUUGCCAUUGUUCUUUACGGCCUCCAUCAUUCGUCAUGAACGACAUCAGUAACUGGAAACUAGGAUUAGCAAGCUAAAGUGGCAGUGGGCAGGUCACAUAGCGCGAAGAUCGGACGGCGCAUGGGGCAGAAAGAUCCUCGAGUGGAGACCACGUACUGGCAAAAGCAGUGUGGGACGGCCACCUACCAGAUGGACCGACGACCUGGUGAAAAUUACUGGGUCACGUUGGAUGCAGGGGGCAACGAACCGGCCGCACUGGACAUCAGUCGGAGAAGCCUAUGUUCAGCAGUGGACAGUAGACAGGCUGAGAUGAUGAUGAUGAUGAUGAUGAUGAACUGGAAACUUCCAUCUGGAGUUCUUGCAGGAUAGUGGUCGGUGCACCACGGUUCCUAAGAAACGUGGAUCUCCAUGAGGACCUAGAGCUUGACUCAGUCUUUUCUUUAAGGCAAGCAGUGCUCGUAGAAGGGCAGGUGAGCCUAAAUAGCUUUCCUGACAUGGCGACUGCAUUAUCGACAAGACAAACAAUCAUGCAAACAAACAUUAUGCGUACUCAACCAUUUGUGGACAUAAGGCCUUACAUACCUACAACUCGUGUUGAGAAAAUACUUUUAUUUUUUAGUUUGAGAAUAAAGCACGGUGCACAUUUAUUAAAAUCUGCAUUUACAUUUUAUUGUCAUGAAUAAGAUAAGUUCAUAAUGAAAUGGCAUACGAAAAAAAUAAAA